rnacentral:rRNA from 1 species
UGGGGAAUAUUGGACAAUGGGCGGAAGCCUGAUCCAGCCAUGCCGCGUGUGUGAAGAAGGCCUUCUGGUUGUAAAGCACUUUAAGCGAGGAGGAGGCUACUUGGAUUAAUACUCUAGGAUAGUGGACGUUACUCGCAGAAUAAGCACCGGCUAACUCUGUGCCAGCAGCCGCGGUAAUACAGAGGGUGCGAGCGUUAAUCGGAUUUACUGGGCGUAAAGCGUGCGUAGGCGGCUUCUUAAGUCGGAUGUGAAAUCCCUGAGCUUAACUUAGGAAUUGCAUUCGAUACUGGGAAGCUAGAGUAUGGGAGAGGAUGGUAGAAUUCCAGGUGUAGCGGUGAAAUGCGUAGAGAUCUGGAGGAAUACCGAUGGCGAAGGCAGCCAUCUGGCCUAAUACUGACGCUGAGGUACGAAAGCAUGGGGAGCAAACAGG